GUUGUCCUUGUGCUGUAAAUAUGGCUGCAAGUAAUCGUGCAGAACUUCAGAAGUCUGUGAAUAUGUAGAAAUAUAUUAUUGUUGUCUUAGUAUGUUCAAGUAUACACAAAGAUCUGGUGUUAUCCGCGUAUGACUUGGGAUUUUUCACCUGAGUCUGACAUCGUAGAAGGACCAUUCUUGCAUCAGAUUGGAUAUUGCACCUGAGUCUGACAUUGUAGAAGGACCAUUUUUAUUUCAGAUUG